CAAACGCAUUUGGGAAAAUUAUUGUUUAUGUUUACACUCGUGCGAUGCACGAGGGUUAAAAGUAAAUUGCUAUACGAAUCUAUCAAAAGAAAAUAAUGUAGCAAUAUAAGUUAUCAAGUGUAGUACAAAAGAGAAAAACAAUCAUAUAAAAUAAUAAAGCAAUAUAAGCUAUUUGGUUACGGUUUGCCACUAAUUCUCUUUCACUCUGGUAGUCUGCCUCUGGUUCUAGUUUGUCAUUGGUUGCCUUUAGUUCAUGUUUAACUCUGGUUAGUUUCCUCUGAUUUUGUUUGACUCAGGUUUUAGUUUGCCUUUGGUUGCCUCUAGUUUUAGUUUGUCUUUCGUUCUUGUUUGUCUCUGAUUGCCUCUAAUUUUUUUUUGCCUUUGGUUGCCUCUAGUUUUAGUUUGCCUUUCGUUCUUGUUCUUGUUUGUCUCUGAUUGCCUCUAACUUCUGUUUGUCAUUGGUUGCCUCUAGUUCCAGGUUGCCUCUAGUUGUUGUUGGUCACUGGUUGCAUGUGGUUCUUGGUUGCCCAUGAUUUGGUUUUCCUUUGGUUGCAUGUGGUUUCUGUUUGCCUCUGAUUUCAUUUGUCUCUAGUGGCAUGUGGUUACUGGUUGCCUCUGGUUCCUUUUUUUUUUCAUUCUAGUUGCCUCUGGUUCCAUUUUAUAUCUAGGAUUCCUCUGGUUUUGUUUACCUUUAGUUCUAUUUACCUCUUAUAUGAAUUCUUUUAAAUAAUAUUGUCGGCAAUACGGAUUACAAUCAACAAGAACAUCUUUUAUAACUUUGACCAUUGACUCUUUAAGACACGCCUCAUUGUCUUCCAUCCUAAAUAUAAAAUGUUUGUUGUUUAAAUAUAUUAGAGACAAUGAAUUGAAAAGUAUAUAUUGUUAAUCUCGACAUAAAAACUCCUUAUAAGGUGCAAUUGAUGCUU
rnacentral:lncRNA from 1 species